rnacentral:lncRNA from 1 species
UUUAUAUUUGCCUCUGAUCAUCUGUGUUAUCGUUAGAAUACAAUUUAUUUUUUAAUAAAAAUAAAAAAAAUAAUAUUUUUGCGAUCACAAAUAUAUUCCUUCAAAAGUCUCAACUUUAAAUGAUACAGAGAUAUUCUUCAAAAAACUUUCAACAGUCAUCUUCUUUUCUUUAAUUUCUACCAUCAUAAAUAAUAUAAGAGGGAUAAAAAGAUCAAUUUACCUUAUUCACCGACCAGAAUUAAACGUUUUAUCUAUAUUUAACUAUAUUUUUCUAACGCAUCGUAACACGCAAACU